UGAUUAGUCGUUAUCGCAAAAUUACAACCUUGCCAAGGUUGGGGUCGAGGGUUCGAAUCCCUUCUCCCGCUCCA
rnacentral:tRNA from 1 species